rnacentral:sRNA from 1 species
CGAACCUGCAGCAGGUUCGAGUUGAGCGCAGCGAAACAACGGAGCCGCUCGCGGCGACGGCCCGAAGGGCGAGCGAAGCGAGUCAUCCUGCACGACCCACCA